rnacentral:rRNA from 1 species
GAUGAACGCUGGCGGCGUGCCUAAUACAUGCAAGUCGAGCGAACAGACGAGGAGCUUGCUCCUCUGACGUUAGCGGCGGACGGGUGAGUAACACGUGGAUAACCUACCUAUAUGACUGGGAUAACUUCGGGAAACCGGAGCUAAUACCGGAUAAUAUAUUGAACCGCAUGGUUCAAUAGUGAAAGACGGUUUUGCUGUCACUUAUAGAUGGAUCCGCGCCGCAUUAGCUAGUUGGUAAGGUAACAGCUUACCAAGGCAACGAUGCGUAGCCGACCUGAGAGGGUGAUCGGCCACACUGGAACUGAGACACGGUCCAGACUCCUACGGGAGGCAGCAGUAGGGAAUCUUCCGCAAUGGGCGAAAGCCUGACGGAGCAACGCCGCGUGAGUGAUGAAGGUCUUCGGAUCGUAAAACUCUGUUAUUAGGGAAGAACAAAUGUGUAAGUAACUAUGCACGUCUUGACGGUACCUAAUCAGAAAGCCACGGCUAACUACGUG